CUGAGCGACCAAAGCGUCUAGCAGCUUCCCCGUACUUUUUGACAAGCGUCCUUGACAGGGUGGCCAGAGCUUCUUUGCAGCUCAAGUCGGUGGCGGUGUGUACGUACAGUUAGUCAGCCUUUUUUUUUUGUAUCAACAUUU